rnacentral:rRNA from 1 species
GAACGCUGGCGGCAUGCCUUACACAUGCAAGUCGAACGGCAGCGGGGGGAGCUUGCUCCCUGACGGCGAGUGGCGGACGGGUGAGUAACACGUAGGAAUCUACCUUAAUUAUAAUAGUUAGUGGGGGAUAACCCGGGGAAACUCGGGCUAAUACCGCAUAAUCUCUUCAAAGCAAAGCGGGGGAUCUUCGGACCUCGUGCUAUGAGAUGAGCCUGCGUCGGAUUAGCUAGUUGGUAGGGUAAUGGCCUACCAAGGCGGCGAUCCGUAGCUGGUCUGAGAGGACGAUCAGCCACACUGGGACUGAGACACGGCC